UACAGAGGUCUCAAGCGUUGUUCGGAAUUACUGGGCGUAAAGGGUGCGCAGGCCGCGCGGGCAGUCAAAUGUGUAAUUCAGGGGCUCAACCCCUGCACUGCGCUUGAUACUUCCGCGCUAGAACUUUGGAGAGGAGUCUGGAAUUCUCGGUGUAGCAGUGAAAUGCGUGGAUAUCGAGAAGAACACUAACGGCGUAGGCAGGACUCUGGACAAAUGUUGACGCUCAUGCACGAAGGCUAGGGUAGCGAACGGG
rnacentral:rRNA from 1 species